GCAAACUAUUAUUUUGUGCUCUCUUUUCUCCCCGUCGCUCUGAAGCGGACUGUGCGCCCGGAGUUCGGUGUGCAUAAAACGAUGGAGGGAGUGGAAGGAGGGGAGGGGGGCAGGAGAAACGGUGACGGUUCUUAAGGCCAGCAGGUCCUUUGCGUAGCGGCACCACAUCUUGGCAUACUGCAGGGCCAGCUCCACGCCUCCCUCACAGCGACACAGAGCCAGGUCUGCUUCCUGGGCUGAGAGACCUGAGCCCUAGGACCAUGCCCCAGGACUACCUGACAUGAUGACUCCUUGCUGUCCCCAGUCCACCUGGCCAUGCUGCUGCUCCAGUUUCAACUGUUCUGCCUUAUUAUUAUUCGACCAUGCUGGUCAUUUAUGAACAUUUGAACAUCUUGGCCAUGUUCUGUUAUAAUCUCCACCCGGCACAGCCAGAAGAGGACUGGCCACCCCACAUAGCCUGGUUCCUCUCUAGGUUUCUUCCUAGGUUUUGGCCUUUCUAGGGAGUUUUUCCUAGCCACCGUGCUUCUACACCUGCAUUGCUUGCUGUUUGGGGUUUUAGGCUGGGUUUCUGUACAGCACUUUGAGAUAUCAGCUGAUGUACGAAGGGCUGUAUAAAUAAAUACAUUUGAAUAAAAAUGUAGAAAGUAACCUACCCAACCCUGACUACAACCUAAUGCUGUAGUCUCACUCAGACGUUUGCGGGGUAGCAUCAUGUGCUGAGACUGCAUAUGAGGCUUACAACCUAUAGGGAGGGAGCUGUUACAGUUGAAGCUGACAGUGUUUCACUUUAAUGGCAGUCAAUAUGCAAAAACACUCAACUCCCAGUGUACAUUUUUCAUCUCACCUCCCUCUCUCGCUCUAUUGCUCUGUCUCCAUUUAGGUCAACCACAUCCUGCUUGUGAUGUGUGUCAUGUUUUGCUCAGAAGACACAAAGCUCUUGUUUAUUCACCUUAGCAGAGUUCUGUUCAUACGGCAGUAGAAGACAGGUAAGACAUAGUAGAACUGUACACAAACCAAGUUCAGCUCUAUAGCACAAAUGACAUUGAAAAGCAAUGUUCCCUCCUACGCGGAAACUGCAUUCCCAGUAAACGCUGCAAAUGGCGGCUCAAUCAGACAUUACCUUGAAAUAUUAAGCGAGCUCUGGUGCGGAACUUUGGCAAUAUGGAUUGAAUCGAGCCCGUAGUCUCACAGAAAGCAGGGCCCUAUAGCCUACUGUGCAUGGCAGAGUUAUAGAGAGAGAUCGAGAGUGGGUUCAAAUAGGAUUUGUUUUCCGUCAAACCGUUUUCUCUUAAAUAACGGAGACUGGCGUCCUUGACUUGAUGGUUUCAAGAGCUUAAUUUAAAAAUAUAUAUGUUUCACGAAUGGCACACACCAACACGCAAAAUGGAGGAUGAGUUCAGGAGGUUCACUGAUCCUGCACUGACUGGGAGGAUGUAGCAUGCAACCACACACACAUGCUCACACACACACACACACGUUUGUUGUAUUAUUCUUGUGGGGACCAAAUAAUUGAUUCCCAUUCAAAAUCCUAUUUUCCCUAAACCCUAACCCUAACCCUUAAUCCUAACCCUAAACCCUAAGCCUAAAAUGGCCUUUUUCCUUGUGAGGACUGGCAAAACUUGUCCAAAGUAUCCUUGUGAGAACUUCUGUUCCCCACAAGGAUAGUAAAACAUAUACCCCUGAAACAUUUUCUCACCUCCUUUUCUACCUAAAUGGAUGGUUUCCCAGACCCAGAUGGAGACUAUUCUCCAUUGAGCAUGCUUUGGUCCAGGAGUAGGCUUAAUCUGAGCACUGAAAACGGGCCCAAAUGAUAACAAUCUUCUGUUUU